AGAGAGAGACAUGCGCGCAUAUCAAUAAGCGGAGGAAAAGAAACUAACAAGGAUUCCCUUAGUAACGGCGAGUGAAGCGGGAAGAGCUCAAAUUUGAAAUCUUCAAGGUUUUACCUUGACGAAUUGUAGUUUAAAGAAGUGCUUUCUGCUGAAGUUUUGGUAAAAGUUCUUUGGAAUAGGACAUCAUAGAGGGUGAGAAUCCCGUAUUUGACCAUUAUUUUCAGCUGUGUGAUACACUUUCAAAGAGUCGGAUUGUUUGGGAAUGCAGUCCAAAAUGGGUGGUAAAUUUCAUCUAAAGCUAAAUAUUGGCGAGAGACCGAUAGCGAACAAGUACCGUGAGGGAAAGAUGAAAAGAACUUUGAAAAGAGAGUUAAACAGUACGUGAAAUUGUCAAAAGGGAAGCGUUUGACACCAGUGUUGUUUUCUCGAAAAUCAAUUAAAAAUGGCUCGAUUUUGUAUUGCUUGAGACCUUAAAAGCUCACUGUACAUUCUUCGUGUCUUUUUUAAUGCACUUUUCGUUUAACAAGUCAACAUCAGUUUCUUUUGUUGUAAAAGGGUCAUUGGAAGGUGGCUUCCUUUUCGGAGAAAGUGUUUAUAGCCUUUGGCCUCUGCAAUCGGAGAGACUGAGGUCUGCAGCGUAGACUCUUCGGGGUUAGAUACAUUUGUGCUAAGUUAUAGCUUUUUAUAGACAACUUGAUUGACUAUAAUUAGUCUUGUAGCUUACUCGCUUAUGCUAUUUUACCUACGCUUAGGAUGUUGAAGUCAUCGUAUCGCGC
rnacentral:rRNA from 1 species